AUUGGCUUGAGAUACAAGUUGCAGCUUAACCACAGAUAUAGGAUCAGAUUACCUAACCUCCAAUCCUGACCUUAACCAUUAGGAGGGUGAGGAAUCGCUAGAUCAGUGGGCACCUGACCUGUAGCCCUGAGUGUCUGGGCAACAACAGCCCAUAUGUUUGCCAUUGUGUAGGCCUAGUAGGUAGUUCUCCAGCUCACACAUUUUGGUUCCCAAAACAUUCAGGGAACAUUGUUUUUAGGCUGUGGGAAUGUUCUAUGUUAGCUGGGCUAAUGUCCCAAGAGGCAUUCCAAUCAGAAAUGUUAGUUCUCAGAACAUUGGGUAAAAAUAUGUUGGUUGUGGGAAUGUUCUGUGUUAGCUGGGCGAAUGUCUCAAGAGGGUUCACAGUCAUUAUUUAAGCAAUGCUAUUUUUGCAUGUUUAAAAACACAGGACUUGUUUACGACUUUGGUGCAUUGUGAUUUGCCAAGUAUGCCCAGGGCUCAGAGAGUACAGGUGAAACCUUAAAUCCCGUUAUUUUCCACCACUGGUUACCACUGGUUUACAUUAACAGCAAUCAGCGCUUCCACAAGGAUGAGUCAACUAAGCAUGGCUUUAACUCUAUUCACACGCACACACACACACGUACGCACACGCACACACACACACGCACACGCACAUGCAGGCAAACACACACACCCCUAAACACGUUGCUAACUCUACUCAUACACACGCAUGCAUGCGCACACACACGCACAUCACUGGCACAAGCACACACAGACAGCUCUGGGUGUUGUGUUCAGUCCUCACACAAUGUUUUGUUCUGGCAGAGCCCCUGAUAACCAUGGUUACGCCCCAUCUCUGAAAAGACAGGAGCGAGAGAGGGAGGACAGGACAGAGGGGGUUCACUCAUCCCCACACAACCAUGCAGACUGCUGUUUCCUCUCCCUCUCUCUCUCUCUCUCUCUCUCUCUCUCCAGUCCGCUUCUGCUCUGUAGGCAGUCCUAUAUUCUCCCCUCCAACAAAUUGGUGUGCUGACCGCGGGUUUUCCCGUCAAUUCCUCUUUAGCACCACGUCCAUACACCUUUCACCCAAAUCUGUCUAUUUGCCGGCGAUUCAGUACACUCUAUUUCGGAUUAAAAUUGAAAUGAUAAUCCGUGGUUCAUUUAUGGUUCUUGGCGUCAAGUUCUUCCCUUCCACAUUCGGUCUGUGGUUGGUUCGGAGCUAUGAGUAUAACGGUGUUGUGAUGCUGGUUUCUCCUUCUGCUUGAACACGCGCGUCCUCAGCCCUUCGAUUCGAUCUAUUCAGGGAGGCGUGAAGUGAGUGACACAUAACCCGCCCCGUGCCAGAUCUGCGCAGCCUACUAUGAGCGCAAUCAAGCCACUAGGAUUGGGGGGUAAUCUGUUGUUGUUACCCCUCUACACCGCCUGAAAUUGUAUCCAACUGCUUCUGCUCGGGAUAUUGCCUCUUCACCGAUAUCCCGCGUAACCAGCGGGUUAGUCGGAUACCGCUGCUCUGCUUCGGAGGACAAUUUGAGUAACAGUCACAUUGAUUUCUGUCCAGAGAGUCGCGCCUUCUUAAUCCUCGUAAUCACAGUCUAUCUGUCAAUAUCCCCGUGCCAUUGCCACACAGACAGAAGAUAAUAGAGAAACGCUGCAUUCGUUAAAGCAUGGAGCCUUUGUUGUCUGCUCUAAUGUUCCAAUGGGAUUGUAUUUAAUCUGAGAUUUGGAGUAUUAGUACAGGAAACUCUUUGGCCGUCCCGACCUGGCCCCAGGCCCAAUUCUUUAGCAUGACCAUGGAGGGGAUGGACAUAAUGACAACACAGACACAGAUCUGACACACUGACAUACACACACUUAGACACCUAAAUGCAGACACACUCGCACACACACGGGUUUAAAGUACGUGCACACACAUGCACACACACACACCAUUAAC
ensembl:lncRNA